CAUUUCCAGGCUAACCUACUUUUUAUUUAAUGCAAAUUACAGUACCAGUUAACUAUUUCCAAACCAAGUCACAUAGAACGAAAUGUAUUUACAAGGGAAUGGGGAAAGGGAAAAAAAACAUUGAGCAUACUUUUCACAAAAAAGUUUAUAUUUAAAAUGAAAAAAAAAAAUCAGUCACAGAGGCAUUCAAGUAGUAAUAAUGUUAUACAGAUUUUGCUUUUCCUUUAUAUCAAGACAGAUUUGCACAAGUGUUUGCAAUAGUUUGUAUACAACCCACAGUCCUUCUGCCUGUAGACAGAUAUAGUAAGAAAAAAAAAACUUAAAAAUCAACACAAGGAAGUCUACUUUGUCAAGUUAACCCCUUAUGUACUGGUUGUCAUUUUGCUUUUAUUG
rnacentral:lncRNA from 1 species